CAUUUGGCAGAGUAGGCAGAGAGAUGCAGAGACGGUGUGGGAGUGUGUGGUUCUGUGUGUGUGAGAGUGAGAGGGAGAAACGAUAGCGAGAACGGUGAGAAUGUGUGUACAGGGUCUGUGUGUGUUCUCGAGAGCUGCCUGUUCAUGUUUUUCGUAUCGGUUUCAUCUCGAGCCCUCCGUUUCGUUCCGGUUGUUUAUGUGCAGCGUGGGUGGCCAGCAGCGACGGGAGCGCAGUAGCAGUAAGCCUGAUAGCAGAAGCUCUUUUUUGGCCUAACCCAGUUAGUGGUGGCCUCUGGAGUGAUCGUGGACACGGGCGGCGCUCUGAGCCCCACACCGGCCUUAUAUCUGGAGCGCUGGGAGAAAUGACAUGGCACCGCUGCUAUUACAUAAGACAUGAACAAUAGAGCAGGAAUGUGGCAACAAUAAUUACUUAUAAAAUAUACUCAUUGUGCAAAAUACUGUUAUAAAAAUAUCAUGACUACCUGUGUGUUCAUUUGCAGCAUUUGGGGCAGUGUAACUGCUACUUAGAUAAAGUCUGUUUCAUUUGGAAAACAGUCACAACUCAAUAACAAUGUCUUCCAAAACUCCUUAUUUUGGAUUUAUCUCAAAGCAUGGAUGUUUGAAGGCCAAAGGUUUUGGGACACUCCUCCAAAUUAUUGAAUUCAGGUGUUGUUUUUCAGGAGUUAGUUUUACUGAAAGGAACUCUUAAUGCUUCAUCAUACCAAGACAUUUUGGACAAAUGCUCCCAACUUUGUGGGAACAGUUUGGGGAUGACCCCUUCCUGUUCCAACAUGACUGCACACCAGUGCACAAAGCAAGGUCCAUAAAGACAUGGAUGAGCGAGUUUGCUGAGGAGGAACUUCAUAGAGUCCUGACCUCACCCUGACAGAACACCUUUGGGAUGAAUUAAAGCGGAGACUGCGAGCCAGACCUUCUCAUACAGCAUCAGUGUCUGACCUCACAAAUGUGCGUCUAGAGGAAUGGUCAAAAAUUCCCCAUAAACACACUCCUAAACCUUGUGGAAAGCCUUGAAGCUGUUAUAGCUGCAAAGGGAGGGCCAACUCCAUGUUAAAUUCAUGUGCAUGUAAAGGCAAACGUCCCAAAACAUUUGGCAAUAUAGUGUAUAUGUAAAUGUGGGUGAAAUAUCAUUAUAUGACACAUGUAGACAGUUUCACAAUGACAGUAACAUCAGUGCCUCAUUCACAAAACAUCAAAAGUUCAAAGAUACGUUAGAAAUUAAACAUGAUGGCGUGUGCUGUUACACUAAAUUAUACCAGAGCAUGGUUGAAUGCUUAAAUCUGAUUGAAGGUGUGUGUUAUUUUCAUGGCUUGUACCCUAGUUCCAGCUGUAACAUGAACGAUGAACGGUUCGUAUUAAUGCACUUCUUCUAAUGUGCUAUUGUGUCUAUAUUAACGGCUCAUAUAGGAAUUUGCACAGCAGAUGCGCCGCAGAGUCUUACAACAAAAGUUAACAAAUUUUUAACAAAUUGUGUUUAAUAAAGUAAAACAUAAACUAUGACACUGCUGUUUUUAGGAGAAAUUUAUCCAACUUAUAUGGAAAGGAUCUCAUUGUUCAGGAGAGAGGAGUCUACAUUUUCUGGUGUCUUGGUAAAUUGAUAGGGCGUAGUUUCAGAAAGUGAGAGAGAGAGAGAGAGAGAGAGA